rnacentral:tRNA from 1 species
UAAAAGAUAAGCUAAGUUUAAGCUUAUGGGUUCAUACCCCAUCUAUGAAUAAGAUUCUCUUUUAA